ensembl:lncRNA novel transcript
AGGCGUAAAGUUAUAAGAACUUGAACUAGGGUAGUGUUAAUAGGAAGAUAACAGAAGACAUGGCUGGAGACCAAGUGUUAAAGAGAAAACAAGAGUAACUGAAUAUGAACCAUGAGAAAGGAUAAGGCAGUGAGGAUGAUUUGAGAUUUGGGUCUGAGAAGCUGAAGCAAUUAGGAAGAGGAGCUGCUUGAGAGACCCAGAGCUGAAUUUCUUGACUUUUGAGACAUGUUAGUGGAAAUCCUGUCAAAGAGGUAACAGAGGCUACUGAAGAAAUUCAGGUCACCGAGACAAAAAGUAGAAAGAGAGUAUCAGGAAUGUUCCCACUCAAGGCCAAAUGGAGAAUGAAAGCAAUUACGAAAAUGGAAGGAUAUUUCCAGGACUGAAGAACGUCAACUAGCAGCUGUGGUUAAACAGUAUAGGAAGCAUAUAUACAGAUUUGUAUGGCAUUUUUCAGUACAUGGAGGGAUGAAUAUGUCUUGACUGACAUUAGAAUUGACUCCACCUAAAUAUUCAAUAAUAAUAGUUGCCAUCAAAAUAAACAGUUAAACCGGAUAUAGCAUUUUGUGGCAAAACUUGUGGCAAAACAUUUCACCUACCGUAUGUGACAACCAAUAAAUAACCUCUCCAUGAUGUUUAAAAAAGUGUCCCCAAAUGUGACACAAUAUAUAUGUUGGGUACUAGCAGCUGAGCCCUCCCCAUUCCCAGCUAUCAGCCCCACCUUUAAUUCAGAGCAGCACAGCUUCCCUUACCCGCUGCUUAAGUGACUGUUAAUGGACCUGAGCAGCUGCUCAAGGUCUAAUGAUCUGCAUCAGGGGCAAGUACCAGGGCAGUCUUAUUCCUGCCUUCACUCAUCACGGGAGUGGCAGGCAGGACAAAGCUCUGCUGCCCCCGGCUGUAACACUGGAGAGUAGCACAGGAAAACCGGUUAGACCUAGAAGCACCUGAUAGGGCGAAACUUGACUUUUUUAUACAGAAAAACUCAUGCUAGCCAAUACACUAUUUUGAAGAACGUGUUUUAAUACAUAGAGAAAAGAACACCUAUUCACUGAAUCUGUUUUCACUUUUUGGUGUGAAAUAACCACUGCAAAGUACAGAAGCUGUGGUCAGCUGAGAGACCCUAGCACCCAGAAUAAGGCAUGCGAAUGAGCCAUUUUAGAAGCUGACCCUCUAACCAUGUUCAAGCUUUCAAAUGACUGCAACCACUGCUGACAUGCUAAAUGCAACCACAUGAGAAACCCUGAGGCAGAAAAACCCAGGCUAGAGUACAAAUGUGAAUAACAUCACAUGCCAAUCAUUCAGGAGUUAUUCAAUAUGCACUGAUGACCCCAAGAGCAGUGAAAAUAACCGUGACAGAAGCUUCCUGAUGACUGGGUACAAGGACAAUUUUUCUCUUAGUAUCCAGACUCCAGUCCUCAAGUCUGCAAAACCAUGAGAACAAUAACACUUUACCAUCAGAACAAUAACACUUCUUUACCAUCAGAGACAUUCUCCAUUGUACACAGAGUACAGAUCAAUUCCAGUAUUCUUAAAUGGGUGAAAUCGGAUUAAAAUGGCCAGCAUGAAGAGGCAUCAGAAUGGGGAAGAUGCAGUCUUGCUGUCACCCAGGCUGGAGUGCAGCGGCACAAUCUCCAGUCACUACAACUUCCGCCUCCCGGGUUCAAGCGAUUCUCCUGCCUCAGCUUCCUGAAUAGUUGGGAUUACAGGUGCCUGUGACCACACCCAGCUAAUUUUGUAUUUUGAGUAGAGACGGGAUUUCACCAUGUUGGUCAAGCUGGUCUCAAUCUCCUGGCCUCAUGAUCCGCCCCCCUCGGCCUACCAAAGUGCUGGGAUUAUAGGCAUGAGCCUCUGCACCGGUAGCUCUUUCUUAUGACAGAAGUUUCUCAACAGAGUACUUUCUUCUGAAAGCAGUAUCAUUUUUCCAUAUUUAAUCUCCACAAGAACCACUUUCAAAAAAUAACAGUAACCUGGCACUUUAAAGAACUAAAAAUAAAAAGAGUAAACAAACAAGAUUUAUUAUUUUAGAAAAUCUAGCUAGUUCUUACAUGAGUAGCUUUUGAGAUGGAAAAUACCUUUAAAUCAAGAUUUUGGUUUUGGCUUACACUCCCAGCCUACUCUUUUGGUUAUUUUCAGUUCUUGUUCAUUUACCUUAAGAAUAUGUUCACCUAAUUGCGCUACUGAAUCAGAUAGCAAAUCAAUCCUUCUGAUAAAGUUAAAACAAUUAAAUUUUAAUUCAGAAGGUAUUGGCUGCCAGUUUCAACAAUGUGUAUCAUGAUAUGUUUCUGAAGACAAAGUCAUUGUGAUACCACAUAUAAGUUUUGAUUCUAGAUAUUUUUCUGCCCAUGUGUUCCUCUACAGUGAAGCCUAAAGAGUCAUCCUCCAACCUUGACAACCCUUCACCAUUAUAAUGGAACAAGUCCCAGAUGAGAACAACAGCCAUCUCAGGCAGUCACAACUUUCUGCAGUAGAAAUUCAAUGAGAGCCUCUGAUGGAUACAAAACACUGUGUUGGGAGCUGCGGUGACAAGAUCGAACGGACACAGAUGACCCUUUCAAAAAAUAAAAAGAGCUCAAGAGUCAUAACAAAAGAUGUGAACAAACAUCACCAAUGAGAGGUACAAGGUGAUCAGAGGCAUGAUGGUCUAAGUUUUCAGGAAAAGGAGCAGCUACUUCCAGUUGGUAGAGCAUUAAGGAAAUGCUGCAAAAGGAAUUGAACUUCAAAUUGUACCUUGGAGAUGGGGAUUGAGUAUGGACAGAAGAAGAUGAAAUGAGGACUGUUGUUGAGCUGAGAGCUAAUAAAUCAGCUUUCUAUUUCAUUUGUUCAUUCAUCCAUUUUACAAAUAUUAAUCAAAAUCUUCUAUGUGCCACAUUAUACUAUGCUCUAAAUAUGAUGUUGUGAAAAAAAGACACAGCCUGUAACUUAAUGGUGCUUAAAAGUCUAAUAUCAUCUAUCCACCUGCUUUUUCUUAGGCCUUAUUGGAAAAUUCAGGAAAUAUACAAUUUUGGAACUCAUCAGAACAUAGACUGAAUAGUCCAGGACAG